AAAUGCAGUGACUUACAGAAUUGAUUUCUCCCUCAUGCCAGAUGGCCAUCACAAGUUGGCUGCAGCUCUGAUCCUUGUCAUUUUUACUCUGGGAGCCAGGCUGAUGGAGCAGCCCUAAAUUUGGGCGUUGCUGGGGUCAUGGCAGAGGCAAAAGAGAGAUGGGGGCAUGAGCUCACUCUUAGAGCUUCAGUGGCCCAAGUCCCACAGGGAGUUCCAGGGUGGUCUCCUAGUUCUUCUCAUCACUGUCAACCAUCUGCUUCACCUGGGGAGGCUUCCUGAAGCAGUGCCAGGAUGAAUCUCUUCUCCAGUGAAGUGUUAGACAAAGCCCAGCCUGCCCACCCCCCGCAUGGGUCCUUGUGCUUCUGGAUGGAGACUGUCUAAGGAGGCGGAGAUGCGCUAAGGCCCAGCAAACGGCGAUGACAGCAGAGAAGGACCCAGAGCCAUCAUCCAUCCCCAACUCACAAGUUAACUGAUUUUUCUGCCAAAAAGUAACACUUAUGAUGUAAAAUGUGCAAAUAAAGGAAAAUAAAAAA